AUAAUGAUACUUCCGUAAUUCGCGGCCCGGCCAUAAUGAAGGCGGGGGAAUGAGACUUCCAUGG
rnacentral:ncRNA from 1 species